AAAGGGUUCUGUCUCAUAUAGGGAAGACCC
rnacentral:rRNA from 1 species